CCGGUUAUGGAGGAAAUACUGAACAAAUAGUUUUAAUUAACUGAUUCUAGUGAUUCAGUGACACUGAAAACAACUGCUCUACAAGUCACUCGUGUGUGUGUGUGGCGUAUAAAACGAAGUCACCGCAGUUUCACGCCACUGUUGCCCACUCCUCAGUAAGGAAAGUCGCUAUUGGCUGUCCUAAAAGUCGCUAAAUGACGCCUGAUUUGCAUCAUUGACAAUAUGCCUUAUAUAACCGCACGGUACAGAUAUCAGUAUAGACACAUAUCAAGACAUGACAUGUAUGUUAUGUCUUGAUAUGUGUCAAAUGCAGUCAUUUAUUUUUGUGUGAGACUGAGUGAAGAAACAUUUACAGCCCUCUCUGUAAACCAGUGCGUGAAAGGCAGCGGCCAUGCGCAUGCGCGAUUCAUUAGCAGCCUGGACGCCGAGGGGUGAGGGUCUAAAUCUCUCAAUCGUACUGUGUCGAGGCGAGUAGAUAAGGUGGAAAUACGCCAUAAAUAAACGCUGACUUUUGCUGGUUUACGGGUUAUUUUCUGCUCAUUCUUAUCAUCUCUUCACCCCAACCGGCUCCAAUCUCAACUGAUGCACCCAGGGAGCAGGAGAGGAUGAGUCCUUUACUGUUGUAGGCUUUAUAAAGUUAUGUUUAAAGCUUCAGAGGAAGCAAAACUUUAAUGCCAGUGGGUGCACCCUAUAAAAUGGCUAAAAUGGUUUUACACGGGUUUCAAUGUAUUUCAUGGUUUUACAAGGGUCUCUAAGACAUGGACAUGUGUGGAACUGAGUUUGACUCCAGUGAGAUAACACAGCUUGGAGAACAGCUUCAGAGCCACAUGUCCAAGGAAGCAAGUCUCAAACUGGAAAGCCUUAGUGAGGAUUUUGUCAGGCGCCAGUAAUCCCUGCCAACAUUUUGAAAAAUGUAAAUGGUUAAUUGUCUGCUAUGCAUACAAAUAAAAGGAUAUAUUAUU